AGACCCUCAACACCUUUGUGGUGUCAGCCAGUGUGACCAAUGCCAGUUGUCCAAUCAAAGACCUAGCAGAAGACAUUAAAGUCACACUCCACCACCUUAUACCAAACACACUUUACAAGAAGGUAGAGUGUGUGUACUGGAACUUCAGUAAAAACAAUGGGCAAGGAGACUGGGAUGAUUACGGGUGCCGACAAAACAACAGCAACUCAAAAUACACAACC